GAAAAGAACUUUGAAGAGAGAGUUCAAGAGUACGUGAAACCGUUCUGGGGUAAACGGGUGGAGCCCUAAAGGUCGAAAGGAGAGAUUCAGUAAUCCAGUCCGACUUCGGCUCCGCGUCGUUGGGUAAACUCCGGGUGUCUGCUUUCGGGCAGACGUGCCCGGGGCCUGCGGCGUGGGCACGCGCGAGGUAGGUGGAGCGCACUUCUCUCCGAGUAGGACGCCGCGACCCGUUGGACGCCGGCCUAAGGCCCGGGUGCGAGCCCGUCUCGCUGUUCGCAGCGAGCGGAGCCCUGGUGUCCCGGCCGAGUGUCAGACGGUAGAAACGUGGACAGGCCCGCGUGCUUUUAGCUCGCGCGCGUGCCCGGUGCAAGCGUCCGGUGGGACCCUAUCGUGCGGAUUCAUGCCGUCGAAGACCUACCGGCGUUGUUGGUGCUGGGAUUUCUCGCGCAGCCGGCCCGAUCUCGUUGCGGCGCUCAAAGCAGGGUGGCCCACCCGGCCCGUCUUGAAACACGGACCAAGGAGUCUAACAUGUGCGCGAGUCACUGGGUUCAGCGAAACCCAAGGGCGUAUUGAACGAGAAAGUCGGCCUUGCGUCGGCUUAGGGAAGAUGGAUACCCUUCGGGGUCUCCCGCAUUCCCGGGGCGUCUCGUCCUACUUCCGCUUGUCGGUCGAAGGUGAGGCGCACCAAGAGCGCACACGUUGGGACCCGAAAGAUGGUGAACUAUGCCUGGCCAGGACGAAGUCAGGGGAAACCCUGAUGGAGGUCCGUAGCGGUUCUGACGUGCAAAUCGAUCGUCAGAGCUGGGUAUAGGGGCGAAAGACUAAUCGAACCAUCUAGUAGCUGGUUCCCUCCGAAGUUUCCCUCAGGAUAGCUGGCGCUCGUAGAACCGAGUCCCAUCCGGUAAAGCGAAUGAUUAGAGGCCUUGGGGUCGAAACGACCUCAACCUAUUCUCAAACUUUAAAUGGGUGGGAACCGGGGCGUGUUU
rnacentral:rRNA from 1 species